AGAACGAACGCUGGCGGCAUGCCUAAUACAUGCAAGUCGAACGAACUCUUCGGAGUUAGUGGCGCACGGGUGCGUAACGCGUGGGAAUCUGCCCCUUGGUUCGGAAUAACAGUUGGAAACGAUUGCUAAUACCGGAUGAUGACGAAAGUCCAAAGAUUUAUCGCCAAGGGAUGAGCCCGCGUAGGAUUAGCUAGUUGGUGAGGUAAAGGCUCACCAAGGCAACGAUCCUUAGCUGGUCUGAGAGGAUGAUCAGCCACACUGGGACUGAGACACGGCCCAGACUCCUACGGGAGGCAGCAGUAGGGAAUAUUGGACAAUGGGCGAAAGCCUGAUCCAGCAAUGCCGCGUGAGUGAUGAAGGCCUUAGGUGUAAAGCUCUUUUACCCGAGAUGAUAAUGACAGUAUCGGAGAAUAAGCCCCGCUAACUCCGUGCCAGCAGCCGC
rnacentral:rRNA from 1 species